GUCAUGUGCGGUUAAUUGCGAGCCCUGGCCUAUAAACUCCCUUCUUUAUAUUAUUAUUUUUGCAUCUUUAUUCAAACAAUCAGAGUUAAAGGAAAGCUUAGAUAUUUCAUCUUUUGUAUAGUUUAGAUCUCUUUAUAAAGAACUGCAACAGAGCUUUAAAUUUUAAAUAUCCUACAGCUUCAGCAGGAACGAAAACGCGACGCCAUUCAUAGUAACUAUACCUGUAACAGUCAUAAAUUUUUGACUAGGAAAAUUUAAAAAAUUAUUACUUUCAAAGUAAUAUAUUUAUAUAGAAAGAAAAGACUUAUGAACUGUAAUCAAAUGCUGGAUCAUUAUAGCCGUUUUCUGGCAGCUAGGUAAAAUAUCGAAUUUAAUAAUAUUUCUAUUAUCACCAUGCUUUACGCGCUCUCUCUAAAAUCGUUUUUAAUAUUUUUUUGGGAGUUUCUGUGGAACCAACACUUACACCAAUUAGAAUUAAGAACCAUUCAAGAACCAUAUCCAAAGGCAACAAGGUUCUUGAAUUGAGAGUAUGCAGCGAAUUACUAUGCUCUGAUUGGCUGACGAUUCACAGCUGAACAGUGCUGCCUUCAUAGUUAGUGACAAAGAGAAGAAAUAGUGAAUGAACAAGACAGCACGACAUCAACACAACCAUAUCCGAGGCGAAUCAUACCGACACCAAUCCACUUUGUCUCACUUUACUGUGCUUGCGGUUUCACUCUUUUCACGUAUCCGUACGCUUAGCGCUCCCUGUCUUACCAGUUCAAUAAAUGAUACAAAGUCUCAUAUAAGUGUGAAGACACUUCUCGUUACUUCUUGUUAUGGUGUACCAACUGUAUUUGUUUUCAAAUCUCUUGAGCUUCAAGAGCUGUCUGUUAUAGUGACUAAAAUUUUAUUUUAUCAUACUUACUUUGAUUAGUGAUACACUUUUAAAAUCAUUUUGUUCCGACCUAUCCGAAUUUUGUUCUUAUCCCGUUCUACCAGAUAUGCUACUGAGGUUAAGAACUUCGAUUGGUAAUUUCAUUUUCUUCAUCAAUAUUCUGCUCAUCUAAAAAAGCAGAAAGAGCUUUCUUAACUUUUUCUACUUCUUAAUAUAUAGUAUGUUAAAUAUCGUAUUCGUUAAAGAAGCACGAGCUCCUGAUCCACAUAGUAUAGAGGAUAAGUUACUUGGCCUGAUAAGUUACUGGAACUACUAUAGCUGAAGAAGAAAAUAGUGAAUAAAUUCUGAAUCUAAACUAUAUGAUACCGAAAUUAUAUUAACUAAUACUAAAUGAUAUAAGAAUAUCAAUGAAAGCAGUGAAGAUUUUUAUAAUAUGGAAAAACACCAAUUGAUAUACAAAAACAACGAAGAAGCUUUAAAGAAUAUCACUAGAAACUGCUGCUAUGUAAGAGUUUUUGCCUUCUAUUGAAAUUAUAAUAUGUAAAAGGUCAAACACUACAGUAAUCCCUACCGUCUAACCACUAAAUCCUGACCGUUGGAAUUUCCACUCAAGGCCAGUGUGUAUUGGUGUCUAGUGUGUCCAAUGGUGUUAGGAAUUCUACUCAAAAUCUGCUCCAAAUGGCGAAGAUGAGAGCUUACAAAUGUGAUUGGAUGAUUCCAAUGGAUUGCCAAUGGAAAUUCAUCGGCAUCAUCCAAUCCCAUUCUUGUGAUGGGUAAUUCUCCAACUCCUACUUUCCAGGGAGGAAGUCAUAAAGUGGUCAGGAGGAUUACCACUGACCCUGAUCAACUCUGACCAGGGACAGUCGGGUUCUUGAUUGUAGGGAAUUAGGGAAAGAUGAGAAACUGCUUUGCUCCGAUUGGCUGACAAUUCACUGAUGGAGCCAGAUUCACUUCGGAGUAGAUGCGUAAAAAUGAUGAGAAUACAGAUGCUUGUUUAGAGAACAAAAAAAAAAUGCACAGGAGUUGGAACUGGUACUGUAUUUGAUGAGACAGUGAGACAGAAUGCACAUACACAAUUUCUCCUGUGUAAUAAUUUUUAUUACUACUUUUGAAAAUAAUCAUCAAAUGACAAUCUUCCUUACUUGUGUAUACUAAUGUAAUUACUUGCCGGCAAUAUUCUCUAGUUUCUUACUAUUUCAACAAUUAAAACUAGAGAAUCAUUAUAAAUACAUAUAUGGUUUGCGAAGAAGAUUCACUAUACAUAGAAUUCGUGUUAAAAUAUGAUGAGCAAGAAGAACGAGAUUGUAAAUAAAAAAUUAAAA